UAGGGAAUCUUCGGCAAUGGGGGGAACCCUGACCGAGCAACGCCGCGUGAGUGAAGAAGGUUUUCGGAUCGUAAAGCUCUGUUGUUAAGGAAGAACGAGUGUGAGAAUGGAAAGUUCAUGCUGUGACGGUACUUAACCAGAAAGCCACGGCUAACUACGUGCCAGCAGCCGCGGUAAUACGUAGGUGGCAAGCGUUGUCCGGAUUUAUUGGGCGUAAAGCGAGCGCAGGCGGUCAAUUAAGUCUGAUGUGAAAGCCCCCGGCUCAACCGGGGAGGGUCAUUGGAAACUGGUUGACUUGAGUGCAGAAGAGGAGAGUGGAAUUCCAUGUGUAGCGGUGAAAUGCGUAGAUAUAUGGAGGAACACCGGUGGCGAAAGCGGCUCUCUGGUCUGUAACUGACGCUGAGGCUCGAAAGCGUGGGGAGCGAACAGG
rnacentral:rRNA from 1 species